GCAGACCUAGAGGAGGCAUGUGAAGACUUUGCUGGAAUGCUGUUCAUUCAUUCAUCACUCUCUCACCUCCUUCUUAUUCUUCAACUCUGCCAUCUGCCUUCUUCCCAUAUCUCACAAGGGGAGCUGUCCUUAUGAAAAUUGCCAAUGACUCCUCUCUUGUGGAUCCUAUGGAAUUUUGCUCCUUUCCUUCCUGGGUCUCUCAGGAGAACCUUCUGGAAACAUGCCUUACCCAUGGCUCUGCUCCCAUUCUUCCCAUCCUCCCACUACUCUCCCCUUUGGGAUCCAGUCACCAUGUUGUGAGGAAGCCCAGACCACAUGGAGAGGCCACAUAUAGAGGUUCUAGCCAAUGACUCCAGCUAAAGCCUCAGUCAACAGACAGCAUUCAUGUGAAUGAACAGGUCUUCAGAUGAACCCAGCCCCAAGCCUUUGUCCC
rnacentral:lncRNA from 1 species